GGGCUGGGCUCAGUGGUAGAGCGCUUUCCUAGCAUGGGUGAGGCCCUGGGUUCGAUCCUCAGCACCACA
rnacentral:tRNA from 1 species